rnacentral:lncRNA from 1 species
CUAUUCUUACUAUAAGUGGCUCUCGUUACUUAAUAAUUUUUAUUGAUAAUUUUUUUCAUUAUACUUAGAUUUAUUUAAUGAGACAUAGAUCUGUGCUUUAUGAUAUUUAUCAAGAAUUUGCAAAAUGAUUCAUAUCCAAUUUUCUAAAACUAUCAAAAUUUUUCGAUCUGAUAAUAUACAAGAAUAUAAGUCGGAGCCUAUGCUUGCCUUUCUUAGAAGUGAAAGAACUUGCUCUCAUUUUUUAUGUUCUGGCACCUUCCAACAAAAUAAUCACGUCGAGC